rnacentral:rRNA from 1 species
UACGAAGGGGGGCAAGCGUUGUUCGGAAUUACUGGGCGUAAAGGGCGCGUAGGCGGCCGAUCAAGUCAGGCGUGAAAUUCCCGGGCUCAACCUGGGGGGCUGCGCUUGAUACUGAUUGGCUUGAAUGCGGGAGAGGAUAGUGGAAUUCCCAGUGUAGAGGUGAAAUGCGUAGAUAUCUGGAGGAACACCGGUGGCGAAGGCGGCAUUCUGGACCGAAACUGACGCUGAGGCGCGAAAGCCAGGGGGGGCAAACGGGG